rnacentral:rRNA from 1 species
AGCUUGCACAGGUGCUGCAUGGCUGUCGUCAGCUCGUGUCGUGAGAUGUUCGGGUUAAGUCCCGCUAACGAGCGCAACCCUUGCCAUUAGUUGCUACGAAAGGGCACUCUAAUGGGACUGCCGGUGACAAACCGGAGGAAGUGGGGAUGACGUCAAGUCCUCAUGGCCCUUAUAGGUGGGGCUACACACGUCAUACAAUGGCCGGUACAGAGGGUAGCCAACCCGCGAGGGGGAGCCAAUCCCACAAAGCCGGUCGUAGUCCGGAUCGCAGUCUGCAACUCGACUGCGUGAAGUCGGAAUCGCUAGUAAUCGCGGAUCAGCAUGUCGCGGUGAAUACGUUCCCGGGUCUU